rnacentral:rRNA from 1 species
CUUGUCUCAAAGAUUAAGCCAUGCAUGUCUAAGUGGAGUAUUAUAUAGCGAAACUGCGAACGGCUCAUUACAACAGAUAUAAUUUACUAGUUCUUGAUCCUAUAUGGAUAACUGCGGUAAUUCUGGAGCCAAUACAUGCAUCAAGCCUCGGCCUUCGGGUUCGGGGUGCAAUUAUUGGAGCAAAACCAGUCUCGUACUGUUUGCUAACUCUGGAUAAUUCUGCUUAUCGCAUGGUCUUGUACCGGCGAAGUUUCUUUCAAGUAUCUGCUUUAUCAACUAUCGUUGGUAGUUUAUUGGACUACCAUGGUGUUGACGGGUAACGGAGAAUCAGGGUUUGACUCCGGAGAGGGAGCCUUAGAAACGGCUACCAUGUCUAAGGAUAGCAGCAGGCGCGAAAAUUACCCAAUAUCAAAACGAUGAGGUAGUGACGAGAAAUAACGAGAUCGUUCUCUUUGAGGUCGAUUAUUGGAAUGAGUACAAUCCAGAAAUUUUAACGAGUAUCUACGAGAGGGCAAGUCUGGUGCCAGCAGCCGCGGUAAUUCCAGCUCUCGUAAUGUAUAGAAUUAUUGUUGCGAUUAAAAAGUUCGUAGUUGGAUUGUUAAGCGAGCAUGGGUCCAUCUUCGUGAUGCGUACUCAAUGCUCGCAUUUUGUUGGUUUUUGCGGCGUUGCUUCGGCUUCGUCGUGAUGCCAGCAGGAUUACUUUGAACGGCUCAAGUGCUCAAAGCAAGUCUUAUGACUGAAUACCGGUGCAUGGAAUAAUGGAACAAGGUUUCGUCCGAGUUUUAUUGGUUUUGUCGGCUGAAACAAUGGUUAACAGGAACAGCCGGGGGCAUUCGUAUCGCUGCGCGAGAGGUGAAAUUCGUGGACCGUAGCGAGACGACCGACAGCGAAGGCAUUUGCCAAGAGUGUUUUCAUUAAUCAAGAACGAAAGUCAGAGGUUCGAAGGCGAUUAGAUACCGCCCUAGUUCUGACCGUAAA